rnacentral:sRNA from 1 species
GCGGCAACAACAGAUUGAACGUGAGCUCAAUGGGUACAUGGAGUGGAUCUCAAAAGCAGAAGAGGUGAUCCUCGCCGAGGAUGAAACUGACGGGGAGCAGAGGCAUCCCUUUGAUGUUGGAGCUCUGCGGAGAACCACCAUAAAGAAAAGCAAGACAGAUUUGCUCAACCCCGAAGAGGCUGAGGAUCAGCUGGCUGAUAUAGCCUCUGUGGGUUCUCCCUUCGCCCGAGCCAGCAUUAAAAGUGCCAAGCUGGAGAACUCGACCUUUUUUCACAAAAAGGAGAGGAGGAUGCGUUUCUACAUCCGCCGCAUGGUCAAAACUCAGGCCUUCUACUGGACUGUACUCAGUUUGGUAGCUCUCAACACGCUGUGUGUUGCUAUUGUUCACUACAACCAGCCCGAGUGGCUCUCCGACUUCCUUUACUAUGCAGAAUUCAUUUUCUUAGGACUCUUUAUGUCCGAAAUGUUUAUAAAAAUGUACGGGCUUGGGACGCGGCCUUACUUCCACUCUUCCUUCAACUGCUUUGACUGUGGGGUAAGUGCUCUUGUUUC